AGAGUUUGAUCCUGGCUCAGAUUGAACGCUGGCGGCAUGCCUUACACAUGCAAGUCGAACGGUAACAGCACUUCGGUGGCUGACGAGUGGCGAACGGGUGAGUAAUACAUCGGAACGUGCCCGAGAGUGGGGGAUAACGCAGCGAAAGCUGUGCUAAUACCGCAUACGAUCUACGGAUGAAAGCAGGGGACCGCAAGGCCUUGCGCUCAUGGAGCGGCCGAUGGCAGAUUAGGUAGUUGGUGGGAUAAAAGCUUACCAAGCCGACGAUCUGUAGCUGGUCUGAGAGGACGACCAGCCACACUGGGACUGAGACACGGCCCUGACUCCUACGGGAGGCAGCAGUGGGGAAUUUUGGACAAUGGGCGAAAGCCUGAUCCAGCCAUGCCGCGUGCAGGAUGAAGGCCUUCGGGUUGUAAACUGCUUUUGUACGGAACGAAAAGGUCUUUUCUAAUAAA
rnacentral:rRNA from 1 species